rnacentral:rRNA from 1 species
CCUACGGGUGGCAGCAGUGAGGAAUAUUGGUCAAUGGUCGGGAGGCUGAACCAGCCAAGCCGCGUGAGGGAUGAAGGUACAGAGUAUCGUAAACCUCUUUUGUCAGGGAACAAAGGCGGGGACGUGUCCCCGGAUGAGUGUACCUGAAGAAAAAGCAUCGGCUAACUCCGUGCCAGCAGACGCGGUAAUACGGAGGAUGCGAGCGUUAUCCGGAUUUAUUGGGUUUAAAGGGUGCGCAGGCGGUCUGUUAAGUCAGCGGUCAAAGCCCGGGGCUCAACCCCGGCCCGCCGUUGAAACUGGCAGUCUAGAGUUGGAGAGAAGUAUGCGGAAUGCGCGGUGUAGCGGUGAAAUGCAUAGAUAUCGCGCAGAACUCCGAUUGCGAAGGCAGCAUGCCGGCUCCACACUGACGCUGAGGCACGAAAGCGUGGGUAUCGAACAGUAUUAGAUACCCGGGUAGUC